rnacentral:rRNA from 1 species
AGUGAACGCUGGCGGUAGGCCUAACACAUGCAAGUCGAACGGCAGCACAGUAAGAGCUUGCUCUUACGGGUGGCGAGUGGCGGACGGGUGAGGAAUACAUCGGAAUCUACUUUUUCGUGGGGGAUAACGUAGGGAAACUUACGCUAAUACCGCAUACGACCUACGGGUGAAAGCAGGGGAUCUUCGGACCUUGCGCGAUUGAAUGAGCCGAUGUCGGAUUAGCUAGUUGGCGGGGUAAAGGCCCACCAAGGCGACGAUCCGUAGCUGGUCUGAGAGGAUGAUCGGCCACACUGGAACUGAGACACGGUCCAGACUCCUACGGGAGGCAGCAGUGGGGAAUAUUGGACAAUGGGCGGAAGCCUGGUCCAGCCAUACCGCGUGGGUGAAGAAGGCCUUCGGGUUGUAAAGCCCUUUUGUUGGGAAAGAAAAGCAGCAGGUUAAUACCCCGCUGUUCUGACGGUACCCAAAGAAUAAGCACCGGCUAACUUCGUG